rnacentral:rRNA from 1 species
UCUGGUUGACCCUGCCAGUAGCAUAUGCUUGUCUCUGAGACUAAGCCAUGCAUGUCUAAGUAUAAAUUAAUUUUUACGGUGAAACUGCGGACGGCUCAUUAAAUCAGUUAUAACCUACUUGAUCGUGUGACUUUAUUCGGAUAACCCUAGUAAUUCUAGAGCUAAUACGUGCUAAAAGCCUUAACUUCCAGCAAUGGGGGAAGAGGUGUAUGUAUUAGAAACUAAAACCAAUCAGCUUCGGCUGUUUGAGAUGAUUCAUAAUAACUCGGCAAAUUACGGGAAAAUUCCUGUGAUGAUUCAAACGGAUUUCUGACCUUCAACUUUAGAUGGCAAAGUAGGGGUUUGCCAUGGUGACAACGGGUGACGGGGAAUUAGGGUUCGAUUCCGGAGAGGGAGCCUGAGAAACGGCUACCACUUCCGAGGAAGGCAGCAGGCGCGCAAAUUACCCAAUGCUAAUUCGGCGAGGUAGUGACAAGAAAUACCAAUGUAGGACCCAACGGGUACUACGUUUGGAAUGAGAACAAUUUAAAAACCUUAACGAGGAACAAUUGGAGGGCAAGUCUGGUGCCAGCAGCCGCGGUAAUUCCAGCUCCAAUAGUGUAUAUUAAAGUUGCUGCGGUUAAAAAGCUCGUAGUUGGAUUACGAAGUGGUGUUUAAAUGUCAUUUUGGUUUGUUUGUCUUUCGGGGCAUUCAGGUCAACUUGGCUUUUACUCACUGUUGUCAUUGUCUUUGCCCAAGGUAUAUGCCUUGUGUGCAUGGCAUUGACCUUCUAUUUUAUGGUAAUGUUGUAUCUUUCGGGGUACAUUCAUUCCAUAUAGUUUACUUUGAAAAAAUUAGGGUGUUUAAAGCAGGCGAAAAGGCUUCGGAAUAUAUUAGCAUGGGAUAAUAGAAUACGAUCUAGGUCGUAAUUUGUUGGUUUCUACGGCUUAGGUAAUGAUUGACAGGGAUAGUUGGGGUCGCUCGUAUUGAGUUGUCAGAGGUGAAAUUCUAGGAUUAGCUCAAGACGAACUAAUGCGAAAGCAUUCGGCAAGGAUGUUUUCAUUAAUCAAGAACGAAAGUUGGGGGAUCGAAGAUGAUCAGAUACCGUCGUAGUCUCAACUGUAAACUAUGUCGACCGAGGAUCCGGUAGCGUUACAUGAUGACCUUCCGGGCACUCUGUGAGAAAUCAUAAGUAUUUGGAUUUCGGGGGGAGUAUGGUCGCAAGGCUGAAACUUAAAGGGAUUGACGGAAGGGCACCACCAGGAGUG